AGAUUAAGUUAUUAAGGGCGCACGGUGGAUGCCUUGGCACUAGAAGCCGAUGAAGGACGUUACUAACGACGAUAUGCUUUGGGUAGCUGUAAGUAAGCGUUGAUCCAGAGAUUUCCGAAUGGGGGAACCCAGCAUGAGUUAUGUCAUGUUAUCGACAUGUGAAUUCAUAGCAUGUCAGAAGGCAGACCCGGAGAACUGAAACAUCUUAGUACCCGGAGGAAGAGAAAGAAAAAUCGAUUCCCUGAGUAGCGGCGAGCGAAACGGGAAGAGCCCAAACCAACAAGCUUGCUUGUUGGGGUUGUAGGACACUCUAUACGGAGUUACAAAAGAACAUGUUAGACGAAUCAUCUGGAAAGAUGAAUCAAAGAAGGUAAUAAUCCUGUAGUCGAAAACAUAUUCUCUCUUGAGUGGAUCCUGAGUACGACGGAGCACGUGAAAUUCCGUCGGAAUCUGGGAGGACCAUCUCCUAAGGCUAAAUACUCUCUAGUGACCGAUAGUGAACCAGUACCGUGAGGGAAAGGUGAAAAGUACCCCGGAAGGGGAGUGAAAGAGAACUUGAAACCGUGUGCUUACAAGUAGUCAGAGCCCGUUAAUGGGUGAUGGCGUGCCUUUUGUAGAAUGAACCGGCGAGUUACGAUCUGAUGCAAGGUUAAGCAGCAAAUGUGGAGCCGCAGCGAAAGCGAGUCUGAAUAGGGCGUUGAGUAUUUGGUCGUAGACCCGAAACCAGGUGAUCUACCCUUGGUCAGGUUGAAGUUCAGGUAACACUGAAUGGAGGACCGAACCGACUUACGUUGAAAAGUGAGCGGAUGAACUGAGGGUAGCGGAGAAAUUCCAAUCGAACUUGGAGAUAGCUGGUUCUCUCCGAAAUAGCUUUAGGGCUAGCCUCAAGUGAUGAUUAUUGGAGGUAGAGCACUGUUUGGACGAGGGGCCCCUCUCGGGUUACCGAAUUCAGACAAACUCCGAAUGCCAAUUAAUUUAACUUGGGAGUCAGAACAUGGGUGAUAAGGUCCGUGUUCGAAAGGGAAACAGCCCAGACCACCAGCUAAGGUCCCAAAAUAUAUGUUAAGUGGAAAAGGAUGUGGCGUUGCCCAGACAACUAGGAUGUUGGCUUAGAAGCAGCCAUCAUUUAAAGAGUGCGUAAUAGCUCACUAGUCGAGUGACACUGCGCCGAAAAUGUACCGGGGCUAAACAUAUUACCGAAGCUGUGGAUUGUCCUUUGGACAAUGGUAGGAGAGCGUUCUAAGGGCGUCGAAGCAUGAUCGCAAGGACAUGUGGAGCGCUUAGAAGUGAGAAUGCCGGUGUGAGUAGCGAAAGACGGGUGAGAAUCCCGUCCACCGAUUGACUAAGGUUUCCAGAGGAAGGCUCGUCCGCUCUGGGUUAGUCGGGUCCUAAGCUGAGGCCGACAGGCGUAGGCGAUGGAUAACAGGUUGAUAUUCCUGUACCACCUAGUAUCGUUUUAAUUGAUGGGGGGACGCAGUAGGAUAGGCGAAGCGUGCUGUUGGAGUGCACGUCCAAGCAGUAAGGCUGAGUGUUAGGCAAAUCCGGCACUCAUAAGGCUGAGCUGUGAUGGGGAGAGGAAAUUGUUUCCUCGAGUCGUUGAUUUCACACUGCCGAGAAAAGCCUCUAGAUAGAUAACAGGUGCCCGUACCGCAAACCGACACAGGUAGUCAAGAUGAGAAUUCUAAGGUGAGCGAGCGAACUCUCGUUAAGGAACUCGGCAAAAUGACCCCGUAACUUCGGGAGAAGGGGUGCUCUUUAGGGUUCACGCCCAGAAGAGCCGCAGUGAAUAGGCCCAAGCGACUGUUUAUCAAAAACACAGGUCUCUGCUAAACCGUAAGGUGAUGUAUAGGGGCUGACGCCUGCCCGGUGCUGGAAGGUUAAGAGGAGUGGUUAGCUUCUGCGAAGCUACGAAUCGAAGCCCCAGUAAACGGCGGCCGUAACUAUAACGGUCCUAAGGUAGCGAAAUUCCUUGUCGGGUAAGUUCCGACCCGCACGAAAGGCGUAACGAUUUGGGCACUGUCUCAACGAGAGACUCGGUGAAAUCAUAGUACCUGUGAAGAUGCAGGUUACCCGCGACAGGACGGAAAGACCCCGUGGAGCUUUACUGUAGCCUGAUAUUGAAAUUCGGCACAGCUUGUACAGGAUAGGUAGGAGCCUUUGAAACGUGAGCGCUAGCUUACGUGGAGGCGUUGGUGGGAUACUACCCUAGCUGUGUUGGCUUUCUAACCCGCACCACUUAUCGUGGUGGGAGACAGUGUCAGGCGGGCAGUUUGACUGGGGCGGUCGCCUCCUAAAAGGUAACGGAGGCGCUCAAAGGUUCCCUCAGAAUGGUUGGAAAUCAUUCAUAGAGUGUAAAGGCAUAAGGGAGCUUGACUGCGAGACCUACAAGUCGAGCAGGGUCGAAAGACGGACUUAGUGAUCCGGUGGUUCCGCAUGGAAGGGCCAUCGCUCAACGGAUAAAAGCUACCCCGGGGAUAACAGGCUUAUCUCCCCCAAGAGUUCACAUCGACGGGGAGGUUUGGCACCUCGAUGUCGGCUCAUCGCAUCCUGGGGCUGUAGUCGGUCCCAAGGGUUGGGCUGUUCGCCCAUUAAAGCGGUACGCGAGCUGGGUUCAGAACGUCGUGAGACAGUUCGGUCCCUAUCCGUCGUGGGCGUAGGAAAUUUGAGAGGAGCUGUCCUUAGUACGAGAGGACCGGGAUGGACAUACCUCUGGUGUACCAGUUGUCGUGCCAACGGCAUAGCUGGGUAGCUAUGUAUGGACGGGAUAAGUGCUGAAAGCAUCUAAGCAUGAAGCCCCCCUCAAGAUGAGAUUUCCCAACUUCGGUUAUAAGAUCCCUCGAAGAUGACGAGGUUAAUAGGUUCGAGGUGGAAGCGUGGUGACACGUGGAGCUGACGAAUACUAAUCGAUCGAAGACUUAAUCAAUUUUUAAA
rnacentral:rRNA from 1 species